UGAAAGGCCAAUCAAACUUGGAGAUAGCUCGUACUCCCCGAAAGGCAUUUAGGUGCCGCGUCGGAUGUUCACCGCGAGAGGUAGAGCGACCGAUAGGACGAGAGGGCUUCACCGCCUAUCGAGUCCUGACGAACUCCGAAUGCUCGCGGUCCGCAGUCCGGCAGUAAGGGGGCGGGUGCUAAGGUCCGUCCCCGAGAGGAGAAGAAUCCUGACCGUCGUCUAAGGUCCCGAAAUUCUGUCUAAGUUAGUCUAACGAGGUCUGGUCUCAGUGACAGCUAGGAUGUUGGCUUGGAAGCAGCCAUUCAUUCAAAGAGUGCGUAACAGCUCACUAGUCGAGAGACCGGGCAUGGAUAAUAAUCGGGUAUUAAGUCAGAUACCGAAGGCACGGGGUAGCAGAGUAAUGAAAAGUACCGGUAGGGGAGCAUUCCACCUCCGUCGAAUGGUUUCCGUGAGGAUUCCUGGAGGGCGUGGAAAAGCAAAUGUAGGCAUAAGUAACGACUAGGGGCGUGAGAACCGCCCCCGCCGCAAGUCUAAGGUUUCCCGGGCGAUGCCAGUCAGCCCGGGGUCAGUCGGGUCCUAAGGCUCAGCCGAACGGCGAGGCCGAUGGCAGACACGGUUAAUAUUCCGUGACCCUCUGCUGGAGCGACGUGGAGACGGAGCAGUGACACCACCGCGCCCUGACGGAAUAGGGCGUUGAAGGCCGUAGGUGCUGAUGGAGGCAGGCAAAUCCACCUCCAGAGCUGAAAGCCGACAGUACGCUUCCUCCUUCGGGAGGCGGCGACAGCGUGGGUAACCAUACUUCCUAGAAAAUCCGCUAAGCAUAUCCAUCGGAGGCCCGUACCGCAAUCCGACACAGGUAGACGGGUAGAACAUACUGAGGCGUUGGGAGAUUCAUGGCUAAGGAACUAGGCAAACUGACCCCGUAACUUCGGGAUAAGGGGUCCUCACGGCAACGUGAGGCGCAGAGAAUAGGCCCAGGCAACUGUUUAACAAAAACACAGGGCUGUGCAAACUCGAAAGAUGAUGUAUACAGCCUGACACCUGCCCGGUGCCGGAAGGUUAAGAGGAGGAGUCAGCCCCUUGUGGGUGAAGCCCCGAGUUGAAGCCCCGGUAAACGGCGGCCGUAACUAUAACGGUCCUAAGGUAGCGAAAUUCCUUGUCGGGGAAGUUCCGACCUGCACGAAUGGUGUAAUGAUCCGGGCGCUGUCUCGGCCAUGAUCCCAGUGAAAUUGUAGUAUCGGUGAAGAUGCCGAUUACCCGCGAUGGGACGAAAAGACCCCGUGAACCUUUACUACAGCUUAGCGCUGACCUUGGUCAUCCGAUGUGUAGGAUAGGCCGGAGGCUUCGAAGCGGGGACGCCAGUCUUCGUGGAGCCGCCCUUGAAAUACGGCCCUUUGGCUGUCCGAGGUCUAACGCGCUUUUUGCGCGGACACCGCUUGGCGGGUAGUUUGACUGGGGUGGUCGCCUCCAAAAGUGUAACGGAGGCUUCCAAAGGUGCCCUCAGGCCGAUUGGUAACCGGCCUCUAGAGUGCAAUGGCAUAAGGGCGCUUGACUGGGAGGGAGACAUCCCGAGCAGGCAGGAAACUGGGGCAUAGUGAUCCGGCGGACGCGUAUGGAAGCUCCGUCGCUCAAAGGAUAAAAGG
rnacentral:rRNA from 1 species